CUUGAUAAUAAUUUAAACAUUACAGAGUCAUAGGGGCUGGAAGGGACCUCAAGAGAUCGAGCCCAACCCCCCUUGCAACUACUCUACAAUAGGUGGCACAGGUAGGCGUCCAGCUGGGUCUUGAAUAUCUCCAUAGAAGAAGACUCCACCACCUCUCUGGGUAACCUCUUCCAGUGCUCUGUCACCAUUACCAUAAAGAAAAGUUUAAAAAGUUCAUAUGAAAUUGUAAAGUUGUAAAAAAGUUUCCAAGAAAUUGCAAUUGUUAAAGAUGAAGUCUGAUUCUCUGCUCAUCUUCCUAGCAUGAAAUGCCAACACUUACCAAUGACUUCUCAUUGUCACUGUAAUAGAGAACCUGUGGGUGUAUUUUGGUGCUGUAAACCCACUGGAUCAAACAAGGUGCCAGUGGGGACAAAGCAGCGAUACACACGGGAGCUGGAUGGAACCUUGCAGACAGUAUGGAUGUCAGUGGAAAAGGAGUAGGAGAAGAUGGUGUUGGUCCAAGGAAGAAGCAGAGGUUAAAAGCUCAGUUCCACAAUCCCUGGGGAAAUUCAGGAAGGAGUGGGAGGAUCCCACUGAAACCAGUCCAGGAGGUUGGCAAGGAUAACAAAUUUCAGCUGGAAAGAAAAAGGGAUGUUUGAAUGGGGGAGGUAGCCUUGUUGUGCCAAGGAAAUGGAGAUUUUUCAGGUACACAACAACACAAGCAAAUUUAAAUCAGGCCCCUCUGUAUGGCAAGGAAGUCAUUUCCAUCUUUCAAUUCAGCAUCCUUUCACCAUCAGCACUGCUUUGGGUUCGUGUUGACAGCCGCCAUGCUUUGGGAUCGUGUUUGCAGCAAAGACUUUGUUGCUCCACUGCAGCAUUGACCUGUGGGCAGAUCUGUGCGUCCUGUCCUGCUGGGAAAUAACGAGGGCUGUGGCCAUUCUAAAAUCAGGUAGGAAAUUUGUUCCUCUUUCUUCGUCCUGUUGUGGCAUAGCUCUCUGAUGGUGCCCGGUCUGUUUGAAGUGCAAGGUCAGCUCAGCUGUUUGGAAAACAAAAUUGAAAUCUUAAAUAAAACCCGAAUGGAUUACCUGGUUCUACUUCACUUUGUUUCAGCGUCGUGUGCAGAAAUGAGUGGGGUACUUGAAGG
ensembl:lncRNA